rnacentral:lncRNA from 1 species
UUUUCUGCAGAUUUUUCUCUCCCGAGCCCAGAUUUCGGCCUCUCUUUUCCACUGGCCAUAUCUCCCUCCACAGACCUCCGAUCGACUUGAUUCCAAAAGAAAUUUCAUUCGCCUUGAAGUCAUUUAAAACUUCCUAGAAGACAUCAAAGUGAGAAAAGAACCGUGUAAGGCGCUAGGAGGCCGAGAAGCUGCACAGCUCGAGCUGGAAUUCGCCGAUGCUGCUCUUCCUUCACCGGCCGAUAUCUCUCUCAUCCGACCUCGAAUCGAGUUGAUUCCAAAAUGGAUUUUUCUGGGCUUGAGCUAUAUUACAAUUUUGUAGAAGACAUCGAGGGGCAAUAACCAACGUGGUAGCCGCUACAAGUCGAAGAACACGGUGCAGUCGAGUUGGAAAUCACCUCUUUUCCCUACCAUCGUUCUCCCUCCUCCGGCCACCUUUUACCGUGAUUCUUGAGGGGAUUCUGCACUUCUGAGGAUGUAGAUCAUUUCCCCUAAGGUGGAUUGCAUCGAUUUCAUCUGUGGAGAUCGAAUUGGAACUAAUUCAAAACUAGGGUUCUUCGGGUUUCAAACCUUAUGAGGUGGGUGACGGUUUGAGUUGACGAGCGUUUGGAAUAUUGUUAUAUUUGACUUUUUAGAAGACGCAGCUGGAUUAGAGGUAAGUAAACCUCACAUGGUUCAUAUUACGAACCGAAUAAAUUUAAUUACCUUAUUUUUUGUGGUAAUUGUGUGAAAAUAUUUAUGGAAUAAAUAUUUGUUUUAAAUCAUAUGCACUUGAUCAACUACGGUCCAUAGGUAAGUAAAAUGAUUUUAUUAUACAAAUGAAUUUCACGGUUUUUAUACUUGAACUAUAGUUGGUAUUAGUAGUCAUUCCUGAGCGGAUGAUUACGUAUAUAUAUAUUUACGUGAAAUAUAUAUGUUGAUUGGCGUGUGAUUAGCAUGAUGAAAUGAUUGAGAAUUGAUUGGAUAUUAUUCAAGCUAUUAAUCUCCCAUUUAAUUGUUGAAUAAUGAAAUGUUGAUCAUGUGAUGUGA